rnacentral:rRNA from 1 species
UUUUGGACAAUGGGCGAAAGCCUGAUCCAGCAAUGCCGCGUGUGGGAAGAAGGCCUUCGGGUUGUAAACCACUUUUGUACGGAACGAAAAGGUCUGCCCUAAUACGGUGGGCCCAUGACGGUACCGUAAGAAUAAGCACCGGCUAACUACGUGCCAGCAGCCGCGGUAAUACGUAGGGUGCGAGCGUUAAUCGGAAUUACUGGGCGUAAAGCGUGCGCAGGCGGUUAUAUAAGACAGUUGUGAAAUCCCCGGGCUCAACCUGGGAAUUGCAUCUGUGACUGUAUAGCUAGAGUACGGUAGGGGGGGAUGGAAUUCCGCGUGUAGCAGCGAAAUGCGUAGAUAUGCGGAGGAACACCGAUGGCGAAGGCAAUCCCCUGGACCUGUACUGACGCUCAUGCACGAAG